rnacentral:rRNA from 1 species
AUAAACUGGUUUUCUUCGCAUGAGAGGAUUAUGAAACACGGAGCAAUCUGUGGCUUAUAGAUGGGCCUGCGGCGCAUUAGCUAGUUGGUAGGGUAACGGCCUACCAAGGCGACGAUGCGUAGCCGACCUGAGAGGGUGAACGGCCACACUGGGACUGAGACACGGCCCAGACUCCUACGGGAGGCAGCAGUAGGGAAUCUUCCGCAAUGGACGCAAGUCUGACGGAGCAACGCCGCGUGAGUGAUGAAGGUUUUCGGAUCGUAAAGCUCUGUUGCCCUAGACGAACAGCAAGGAGAGUAACUGCUCUUUGUGUGACGGUAUAGGAGAAGAAAGCCCCGGCUAACUACGUGC